GAUGAACGCUGGCGGCGUGCCUAAUACAUGCAAGUCGAGCGAAUGGAUUGAGAGCUUGCUCUUAUGAAGUUAGCGGCGGACGGGUGAGUAACACGUGGGUAACCUGCCCAUAAGACUGGGAUAACUCCGGGAAACCGGGGCUAAUACCGGAUAACAUUUUGAACCGCAUGGUUCGAAAUUGAAAGGCGGCUUCGGCUGUCACUUAUGGAUGGACCCGCGUCGCAUUAGCUAGUUGGUGAGGUAACGGCUCACCAAGGCAACGAUGCGUAGCCGACCUGAGAGGGGGAUCGGCCACACUGGGACUGAGACACGGCCCAGACUCGUACGUGAGGCAGCAGUAGGGAAUCUUCCGCAAUGGACGAAAGUCUGACGGAGCAACGCCGCGUGAGUGAUGAAGGCUUUCGGGUCGUAAAACUCUGUUGUUAGGGAAGAACAAGUGCUAGUUGAAUAAGCUGGCACCUUGACGGUACCUAACCAGAAAGCCACGGCUAACUACGUGCCAGCCGCCGCAGUAA
rnacentral:rRNA from 1 species